AUGGGAGGUACCUUCUGUUCUUUGUUGCGAAGGAUAUCCAAGCUGUGGUAUCAUCUAACAUGUCACAAGAUGGUACAGUUUCAAGAAAUCGUGCAGCUGGAUGUGGAGGAGUGCAAAGUUAUAAAGAUUAACCAUGAAACUAAUAAAUGUGCUGAUUAUUUAGCAAAAUUUAGUUUGAGUAUUAAUGGGGCUACUAGCAUUUACUAUACUGAUUGUCCUGAGCAAUUGUAUGGCUUGAUGCUAGAGGAUUGUAGGAAUCCUGAUGUGUUUUGUGUUGUUUAG